rnacentral:rRNA from 1 species
UACGUAGGUGGCAAGCGUUGUCCGGAUUUACUGGGCGUAAAGAGCGCGCAGGCGGUCGUGCAAGUCGCGUGUGAAAGCCCCCGGCUCAACUGGGGAGGGUCACGCGAUACUGCUCGACUCGAAGGCAGGAGAGGGAAGUGGAAUUCCCGGUGUAGUGGUGAAAUGCGUAGAUAUUGGGAGGAACACCGGUGGCGAAGGCGGCCCUCUGGACCGGUACUGACGCUGAUGCGCGAAAGCGUGGGGAGCAAACGGG